rnacentral:lncRNA from 1 species
AUUUUUAUGGAGUUUUAUGGAUUUUUAUGAGGUUUUAUGGAGUCUGUGUGGGAUUUUAUAGAUUUUUAUGGAGUUUUGAGGAUCUCAGGUGUCCUCACUUGUUCCCAGGAGAUGAUGGCCACCAACCAUGAGGACACCUGAACCAUGAAGUAUUGGGGUUUUUUGAGGUCUUAUGGAGUCUGUGUGGAUCUUUAUGAGGUUCUAUGGGGUUUUGGAGAUCUCAGGUGUCCUCACUUGUUCCCAGGAGAUCAUGGCCACCAACCAGGAGGACACCUGGACCAGCAAUUUCAGGCUUUUAUGAGGUUUUAUGGAGUCUGUGUGGAUCUUUAUGAGGUUCUAUGAGGUUUUGAGGAUCUCAGGUGUCCCUUGUCUACAGGAGAUCAUGGCCACCAACCUGGACCAGCUAUUUGUGGGGUUUUAUGGGGCUUUUAUGGAGAUUUUUGGGGUUUUUUGAGGUUUUAUGGAGUCUG